AUCAAAGAAUUAGUGUGUGGUGAGGUCCUUCCAAGACUAUAGCUCUAUUGGAUAUCUUUCUUUAAUGCUUCAGAAGGCGCUGCCAUCUUCUACAUGGUCCCAGGGACUUGUGAGCACUAAUUAUCGGUGUGCAGCAAGAGCCAGUUAAAAUAAAUUCCUAGUUGGUGGCUUGUUUAUCACCUGGACAUACAGCUCAUAAACGACAGCAUUUAAAUGCCGAUGAGGCAUAAGGAAAUGUUUUAGAAUUAUGUGGGGAAAUCUCUCCCUUGGGAUAAUUGGUUUUUAAAGUGAUCUUCUCUCUGAUCAGGUUUCACCUCUAGGACAGAAGAGCUCGGUCUCACUGCACGGCCCGGGGUGACUCCUGUAGUCUGAACUCACAUCAAGGCCAUCUUGUGUCAAAUGCUCAGCCUGCAGGGUGUCUGGGAUAGACAAAUAAUUUUAGAAAUGGAUACAUUUGACAAAUAACCUUCACUGGUUAAAUGAGGUGAAAUAAAAAUAAAAUGUGUUUCAUAAUGUAUUAUUAUAAAAUAUCUAAAGAUGCGAUUGGUUCUGUAAGUAGCUAAGAACAUUUUGCCAGAUUAGCCUUCUGAAAUUAGCGUCACAACCACAUAAGAAUAAAAUAGGAUGGUAUUAGAUGUUACGUGUGUGUGUGUGUGUGUGUGUGUGUGUGUGCUGUGUAAAAUUGGAAUUUUAUGCAGGGCACAAACAUAUUUAAAAUAUUUGAAUUAUUGCUAAAAAUUUCAGAAAGUACAGGUAGGCAUUAAGUUAUACAAUUAGAACUGUUGAUCAGAACUAUCAACUUCUCGGCAGUUAUUAUGGUCACUAUCCCCGCAACUGGGGUAUCUAUACAGCCCCUCCUAGUCUUUUCAUUCAAUUUCUGCUUUCCGAAGUCACUAAGUCUACCUUGUAGUUAAAUACAAUGUCCUUUUCAUCAACCCAGUUGGACAUUUUUCAACAGUUGACAUGUGACCAUUUUCUGAGUCUUAAUAUCUUCCUUCCAAAUGUCAGGCAAUGUAACCAGUCCUAGCUGUGCAUGCCUGUACUUCCAGCUACUUGGGAGGCUGAAGCAGGAGGAUCCCUUGAGCCUAGGAGUUCAAAGCCAGCCUGGGCAACGUAGCAAGACACCAUCACUAAAAAAAAAAAAAGUCAGAUCAGGCAUUGUAAUAGGUAUUUUGCACAGGUAAUCUGAUUAAUCUGUGAGAACGGUUCCAUUAUACCAAGCCCAACAUUACCAUGAAACAAAUUUACCUUCCCUUCUCACUUUUUUUGUUAAAGCACCACUCUUUUAGUUUUAGGUUGAAAACUUCUGUAUGUUUCUGCAUCCUAAUCAUUCUGGGUUAGAAGAACACGUUAAUUAUGUGUCAAAACUGCCCUCAGCAUUAUUCGCCCCUUCUAUCCCCUCUCCUUUGUUUCCCUUUUAGAGUUUAAUUACUAGAACUGGGUCCAAGCUGUACUUGCCAGCUCCAGUACCCCUCUAAAUGAUCUAGCCUUUGCCUCAGUGGGUGGGCCAGCCUUCCUAAUGCCAUGCCUUCAGUAUGUGUUUUCUACAUACUAAUGACAGUCUCACUUGACUGCAAUCUGGACUGAGGUCCAUCCUCAGGUCAAAGUACUCAGGAACCCCCGACAAGUCUUCAAAAGCCCUCAUAUCUCAUACCUCAUCCUGAACUGAUGAGGUCUCUCACUACUCCUCCGCAUACUUUAGUUGCCAGUAUUAUUAUUAUUUUAUAAACAGGCUGAAUGAAAAAUUUCAGAAUGGUCAUUCAAUAAUACUGGCAACUGAAUUGUAUUAUGAUACAUAAUGGACCAGGCACUGUGCUAAGUGCUUUCCAAGAAAUCACUAUGAUCUUUACACCCCCCCGAGGGGGUGGCUAGUAGAUGAGGAAGCUGCAGUUGAGAAGCCUGCUCAAGGCACCACAGCUGGAGACUGGCACAGGUGUGCCUGGUGGCAGCAUCUCCACCUUGAGCCACUACGCCAUAUCCCAAGUGACCAUUCUACUGCCCUUGGCUUGCACUGACCUUCUAAAAUGUCCUCAUCCUUAGUCUCCAAGGAUCAGCUGUCCCACAAAACCUUUCCUGAUGUUGUUGGAAUCAGAAAACAAUACCCCAAAUGAAGUCCUCAGAUGUAAAAGUUAUUCCCUGACCUUCUUCUAGCCUCCUGUCUCUCAGUCCCAUUCUUCCCCAAGGCUGGCCAUAGAAACUAGAAUCCCUCUACCCCAAGGCAGGUCAUGGAAGCCAGAGCUCCUUUUCCCUACAACCAGCCAUAAAACCAAAAAGUAUGACUCUUGGGGUCCCUCUCCAGUCUUUCUGUGUAAAAAUUGGAAGUAAAUAAAUUGUCAUAAGACCCCCAUUCCAGGAAGGGUGCUGCCUCACAUUUAUAAGGAAGGAAUGCAUGAUCAGGGAGGCCAGGAAGAAUCUAGACAGACAGGCCUUGCUGGGUUUCCCCUCUUCGUCUAUUAACAUUCAAUUAUCCUUGUUUGGUCCAAUUUUAUUUCUUUUUUUUUUUUUUUGAGACGGAGUUAAGCUCUUGUUACCCAGGCUGGAGUGUAAUGGCGCGAUCUCGGCUCACCGCAACCUCCGCCUCCUGGGUUCAGGCAAUUCUCCUGCCUCAGCCUCCUGAGUAGCUGGGAUUACAGGCACGUGCCACCGUGCCCAGCUAAUUUUUUGUAUUUUUAGUAGAGACGGAGUUUCACCAUGUUGACCAGGAUGGUCUCGAUCUCUUGACCUGGUGAUCCACCCGCCUCGGCCUCCCAAAGUGCUGGGAUUACAGGCUUGAGCCACCGUGCCCAGCCUGGUCCAAUUUUAUUUCUAUACAUUUAUCCAUACUUUGUUGAACUAAAGCAUAAGAAUUGACAAUUUCACCUGUAUCUUUGGGUCUCCAUUCUGAAGGCUCCCGUAUCACAUAAAACUAUGAUCAAAUAAUUGAGUACGCCUUUUCUCCUAUUAACCUGCUUUUAUCAGCCAAUUUUCAACAAACCUUCGGAAGGAGAAGGGGAAGUUUCCCUUUGGCCUUGACAUUAUCCGCCCAAACCCGCAGAGGCCUCUCCCUCCCUUGAGUUUAUUGCUUCCCUGACUUGCAGGACACCAGAUAGCAUUGGAAUUUCAUGACCCCACAUUGCUAAUUGGUGUGUGUUUAUACUCCAAAUAAAAAAUGGGCAAUUUCCUUGAAAAUCUGUGUCAUAUUUCACUUCCACAGCAGUGGGUAUCAUUUGUGUUUUAGAAAAAUGACUAAAAUUGGUUUUAAUAGUAGCAGCUAACCAUUGUGAAAAGUGUUCGCUAAGCACCAGUUAGCAAACUAAUUGCUUUGCAUUCGUUAUCACAAUCUGUCCCCAGAAAAGCUCUCUUCUUGAAACACUUGAGCGCUAACACUUAGAGGAAGCUCCUGGAUUUACCUGUUUCCUUUAGAAACGAUUUUACUCCAUUGUCAUAGAAUAGAUGGGGGUACAGUGCCUAAUGUGGACCCCUUCAGAGCCUCCACCACAUGACUAGGAGCUCCAUGGCUGAUCUGAGGGGUCUGGAAAUACAGAGCCACAUGCAAAGGAACUGAGAGGGACAGCCCAUAACUUAAGUGUGUAAAGUUACGUUGAAUUGUUUGCACACACAGAGAUUCUACUUACCCAUAAAGAUAAUGAUUCACUGUUGUGUUAUUUACAGUUGUGACAGAAUACUGAUUUUUAGUCAUUGCUUAGAAUUUAAGAAAAUUAGUAAGUCCAAGCUUAUAAAUAAAUGUAGUGGCUUAAAUCGAAUUUUUAAAGUUGUCCUUAGGAGUGUCACUUCUUCAGUGAGCUGUACCUUCUUUCUCCAGCCUCAGUGAUUGCAUCUUCUUCUUUUUCCUUCAUUGACGGGUAUUCACAGCCACCUCUUCUCAGUGGGUGUUUUAAUUUUUUUUUUUCAGAGAUGGGGGUCUUGCUGUAUUGUCCAGGCUGGGGUGCAGUGGUAUGAUCAUAGCUCAUUUUCACCUCGAAUUCCGAGGCUCACGCCAUCUUCCUGCCUCCGAGUAGCCGGGACUAAUGGCACAUGGCACCAUGCUGGGCCAAUUUUUUUUUUUACUUUGUGGGGUUAUUUUGUUGUUGUUUGAGACAAGAUCUUGUCCUGUUGCUCAGGCUGGAGUGCAGGGUCGCCAUUAUAGCUCACUAUAGACUUGACCUUCUGGUUUGAAGUGGUCCUCCCACCUCAACCACUGGAGUGUCACCACCACAACCAACUAUUUUUUAAAUUGUUUGUAGUGAUGGGGUCUUGCCAUUCUCAUUGGAUUUGACUGGGUCUGAGUGAGAUCUUGCAACUGGGCCGUUUUACAUAUUAUGUUCUAAGGGAAAUAAAUACACAGGAUGUUUUCAUUUUACAACUUGGGUAAAAAGCUACUUCACAAUCACUUGGCCAGAUAUUCUGGGUAACACUCAUAAAAUACUUCUCUUUUUGCCUUAGAUAUAGCCAUGGAAUCUUGAAUUCUACAGACAUAAGUAACACAGAUGAUCAGCUGGAAAGAAAGGAAAUGUGACUGUAGGUGAUUAGGCUCUUUAAGACCCUCCUUGGCGGUCUGAGAAGUGGUCCAGGCAGGUGGCACAGCUAGGUUUCCAUACUGACCCACUGUGCUGUCAUCCUUCUCCAGCCAGUGCCCCUUUGGAGGGAGUCACCAACAGAAUGUGUGGCAUCAAUGCCUGGCUCCACCCAUGUCAUGGGCUCUGCUUCACUCACCCAAGACAGGGUUCCCUGGGCGGCUGGAUCCCCUACUCAGGCUCCCCAAAUUCUCAGGGAAAAAUGAUAGACUGUGACAAAAAGGCGGUCUAUUAUUUUACUUUUUAAUAGAGUUCUGUCAGUUAUAGCACAUGCCAUAAAUUACAGUGACCUUUAAAAUCUAGCUUGGUCACUGCUGAAUGGGUGAGAAUCGGCUUGGUUCCAGUUUUUAAGGUCACACUGUCCUAAAUUGCUAUGCAUCACACCAUGUGCUAAGUUGGUAACAACCACUUAGAGGAAAGCUUUCGUUAUGCAAGCGAGCACAUAAAAAAGGGCACUUAUCCAAAAUGAAUGCAGCAAUUUAAACCAAAGAUGUUUGUGCAGAGCAACAACAAGGUAAGGCAGGCAUUUGGGAUAAACUAGGCUGAUGUCUUUGAACACCCGUGGACUAAUUGGAAGGUCUGAAUAUCUGGUGGCUGAUGGGCUCUGGAUGUCUUAUCAUUGCUUAGAAGUGAAAAUUAAAUGCUGAGUUAUGUGUGUGAAAAUACUUAUAUUUGCAUAUAUACGUGAAAUGUAAACCAAAGAUACAAUUCUAAGUCCCCCAACCUACUGAAUGGACAUUUCCUCUCAGCCAAGGGCCUUCCAAAGUUAACCUGAAACACUAGUUCAUGCUGUGAUGGAAAUGAGUAGUUGGACAUGUCUGCAUGAAAAGAAAUCAGACACCACUGACCAGCAUUAACAUUAAAACAGAGACCUUAAGUCUGACGAAGCAGACUCUAUGUAGCAAUAAGAUGCUGACAUGACAGCAAGCUCUGAAAGCAAUAGAAAUAUUUUACCUCAAAAUAUAUUUCUUUGAUAUAUUUCAAAAUGACCCUGCAAAGCUGUCUCUUGUGGGAAGAAUCUACAUUCUGUAGAGAAUCCUCUUCCCUUUCAAGGUAUUUUGUUUCUGAUCUAGGAGAGAAUUAACUAAGUCUGGCACCUUUUUGAGUCUGAUAGGAAGCAUUUAUAAUCUAUUCUCUCAGAAGUCUGCUACCAGGAGAUUUUACCUGCAAAAUAAGAACCCUGGUCUCUCUGACCCCUUAUUUUAAUCCAAACACACCCUUCUAUUGACUCUGGGUCUUAGAUAAACUCUUUCAACUAAUUGCCAAAAGGAAACCUUUGAAUCCACCUAUGGCCUACGAGCCUGCCCAUCUUGAGCUGUCCUGUUUUUCCAGACCAAACCGAUGUGUAUCUUACACAUAUUGGUUGAUGCCUUAUGUCUCCCUAAAACAUAUAAAAUGAAGCAGCAGUUCAACCACCUGGGACACAUGUGGCCACCUUGACAAAAUAAACUAAAUUGACUGAACCUGUGUCAGAUGCUUUUUGGCUUACAAUCAUUUAUAUAAAUAAUAAAACCAAGAGGAUGAAAAAGACUCUCAAAACUUAGCUAAUUCCUUCACCUAAAAUAAUAUAGACAUAUUAUUUUUUAUGUAAGAUUUUAGCAGUAGUGUCAUCUUCAUAUGUAGACAGCAAGUUACUUUAUGAUGGAAGACAAGAUGCUCAGCCUGAGGGAAUUUUCUAGACAAAAGGAAUUACCACUUAAAAAGGAAACAUCUUAAAAUACAUUUUAGUCAUUCUGUAUGGAAACACUAUUCGCUUACUCUAGCUGGAUAAACAUAGUUUAAUGUUGUCAUGAAAAUUGUGUUACUGACAUAACAUCAAAAGAAAUGUGCUGUUCUUGGAAGCCAUUUGCCCCUGCCUGUCUUCUUCAUCUGGGUCUGCCCUGGAGGGUUUCUGGAUGCCUUUCCUGCUGGGCUGUUGACACAUCGGCUGCUCUUCUCUACAUAUGUUUCCUUUCUAGGUCUUUUUCCUGAUCUAGAAGAGAAUUAACUAAGUCUGGAGCCUCACUUACAAAUUUUUACCAAUGUGGAAAAGCCAUGUUUUUCUACAAGUGUGUAUUAACACUUUGUAAUCAUAUUGACUUGAGUAUGUUCUGUCAUUGUAUUAGGAAUAGUAAAUUCCUCUUCAAAAGGUUUAAUUGCAUAAUGUUCCUAUCCUUUGCUCAAAAGCCCAACCUCCUUGUACUCUUGUCUGGAACCUGCAAACAACACUCCUGCUCUAGUCAUGCCCUGGUAUGCCCAGACAUGUCCAGAUAUGCCUUGUACUAUAAUGGACAGACCAUUCCCACCCACUGCCUCCUCUUAGAAAACAGGCCCUAACCAUAUUUAGAAAAGUUCAAGCCUUAGCCAAUCAGGAUCAGCUUUGAUGGUGCAGUCCAACCUAGCCAAUAGGGGAAGGGCACAGGGACAGGAACUGCAUUAGGAAUAAAAACCCCUUCUCUCCUUUGUUUGGUGUGCUCUUGUGAUUGUGACUGAUGCAGGCAGCACCCUUCUGCAGAAGUAAAUUGCCUUGCUGAGAAAACUUUUUGCCUGAGUGCUAGUUCUUCUUUGCGGCACCAAGCAUUUGUUUCUGACAAUUGGCUUAAAAUGUAGAUUUUGCACCUUGGUAAAAAUUUGCUAGGACACCUGUGUGUGGUUUGUGGCUCUGAGUACACUGUGCCACCCACUUUGAGAGCAGCAUGUGAGCUGCCAUGCUAACAUGUAAGUGAGGCCCCACACUUAGUUUAAAGUUGUUUUCAGUAAGAAAGGUUGUCAUGCAUCUGGAGGAUGUGACCAUUUCUCCUUCUCAGUAUAAAAACACAGUGGUCAGACUGUUCUACUCAGAUGCUGAGUGCUGCAGGAUGCUAAGGGAAUGGUGCAAGGACUGUAGAUGCUUUUACAGAAACUGAGAGACUACCUACUAUUUUAAGGCUGCCUGGGUGAUUGCACAGUAAUUACUGCCAAGUUGCAUAUGAAGACUUUUACAUUUUUAAAAUUGUAUCCCCAAAAAUUGUAAUAUCAUUUAUGGUGACAUGAAAUUUGAGUAGCAAUUGUUAAAAUAAUUGAGAUGCCAUUAGGCUGAGAUGGUCCUAGAGCCCUUCGGUUCCCAGGUAAGGAAAUCCAACCAAGCUCAAUUCAACAUAAACAGUGAAAAAAAAAACCCUUUACCACUCAGAAACCACCACCAAGGCCAGGGACUUUCCAAUAGACCAUACUCAAUUAAGACAAAUACUCAGCCCUAGAAAAUCAAGCAGUGGCUUUGCUUCGCUUCAUGUUCAGCCUAUAAAACCCUGCUGCUCUUGCUGCUAGAGUGAAGCUCUCUGAACCUCUUCAGGUUUGAAUGCUAUCUAAUUCAUGAAUCCUUUAAUGCUCAGAUAAACUCUGCUGAAUUAAUUUUGUCUCAAAUUUUCCUUUUAAUACAACUCUUUAUUUUCUGUGGUUUGGAAAAACAGAGUAAUAAUUUUAUUAGAACUCUGUGCAAAGUAAGUAUGUGUAUGCUCUAAGUGAAGCAAAGAGAGGGCUUCCUUCUUAUUAAAUGUGCUUUCCUUAAGAAUUUUCCAAGAAAAUGUGCAGUACCCUCUGCUACUUCUGAGGCUCUCUGUUUUGUCUUCCUAGUCCAUCACAAUUGCCACUCAUUGGGUUUUGGGUGUGUGUUUUCAUAUAGUGGUUACUGUCUAUAUUGCUAUACCCAGAUUCUAAGAACCUGGAGAAGGAUUAGCAAUUCUUAUAACAGUAAGUUUACUGUGUAUAGGAACGGUUUGUAUUUCAUUAUAGCUAUCCAUCUUUUCUACAUUAAAAAUAUUUUUCUCAAAAAAAAAAAAAAUAGAUGUUCUUUCCUACCAGGGCAUAAAAAAUACCUUAAAAAGCAUUUUUAUUUACUUCUGGGUUCCUUACUGCACUCCAAAAAGCUGGUUUGCCUGAAAGUACAUAUUACAUAAGAGAGAUACUAGGAAAAUUGACUUCAGCAAUUUUAUGUCUUGCCUCACAUAAAAGGCUUGGAUGCACCAAAUUUCCACAAUGUAAAACCCUUCCAGAAUUUAAAAAAAAGUAACAAUAGAAAAAUCUUAAACAUACUACAGAGACAGAUUUAAAAUGUUACUGGGCAUACUCAAAUAAAGUAAAUGAUAAAUACUGUCUCAUUUCAAUUUCAGCUAUUAAGAAAUAUUUGUUUCUAAAUUUGCCAUAUAUACAUUUCUGAAAUUACAUCCUAAAGGGACUGCCUUCCUAAUUGGGGAUAUCAGUAUUUAUCACAGCUCUUCUCAGCAUGGAAGCUUUGCAACAACAAAUACCAAAAUACAUGUGUUACGCCACACAAUCGGGAAGCUCUGCUCUCACUGAAUUCUGAAUAAGAGACGGAUAAUUCUAUUUUGAUUCUCCAACGUGUGCUUGUGCCAAUUUAAAACUUUUCUUCUUUGAGGCAAAUAGCUGCUUUUAGUAAGAGGUCAGUGUACUAGUGAUAACUUUAAAGAGAUGAAAAGGCUUUGCAUUGACUAUUUCAGUUAUCUUGAGGUCUCCAGAUUUGUAAGUAUCGCCUCAUUCAUUUUCCAAAAGGCUCAUUAAGCUGGUUUGGAGAAAGUAUGAGUGCGAUUUUUUUUCCGGUAAAAAAAAAAAUAAAAAGUGAACUCAUGUCAGUCAUCUAGACAUUACUCGAUUUUGUCUUUUCUGAAGUCCUACCAAAUUUCUGUUCUCUGAGGGGCUGACCCAGAGCUCCUGGUUGACCAAGCUCGCUCCUCCCUGGGGAACAAAGGGCAGCAGCAUUGGCCAAAGACAAAAAGAAACCCUGGAAAGACAUCCUUCUUUACAUUUCCUGCCUGCUGGAGUGAGGGUCGAGGCAAAACUUGCUCCUACUUUUCUACUUCGCCCUUCACAUUAACAACAACAAUUUGAAGGGCAUUAAGAUUUAAUGUGUUCUCUGCGGAUUCAUACCAGUUCCUAAAAUGAAGUACUAAACUCUAUUACUUAUUGAUGACAUCUGAGUCAGAAGUUUUUCUUCAUGUACUUCUUCAUUUUCUGGACUUUGAACUUCCCUCUCUUGUUAAAGCAAAGCAGCUGUGGCAAACCAGCCUUUUAUUUUUUCCUGCGUUGCAUAAAAUAGAAUAACACUCUCCAAGCAUAAUCCAGCUUCUGUGAUUUAUAUUCGUCAGCACCUCAGGACCUUACACCACGCCAAGCUUUGUGACCAUUGGGAAUGUUUGCAGACCCUGUUGUGGCCAUGGUGCAUCCCUCUACUCCCCAAGGAUUCUCUCUUCUACCCUCAGCCAGUGAUCUGCCCUCACGACACCAGUUUUCCAUGGCAGAGACAUGGUCCACAGGGAGGAAAUAUGCUUUCAGGGCAGCAUGCUUGGAUUCCUCUAAAAAUCAUAUACUUUCCCUCUAAAAUCAUGUACAUUUUUCCAUCUCCCUUUCCUCUAACCAGUAAGCUAUUUAAGCAUCUGAACCCCCAUUGAGAUGUUGGACAAUCACUCUGUAAUUCUUUCUGCAUGCAUGGUAGUAAUAAAUCUGUAUGCCUUUUCUCAUUAAUGUGCCUUUUUUUGUGAGCUGAUUUUUCAGCAAACCUUCCGAAGGGAAAGGGGAAGCUUUCCCUUUGCCCCGCAGCUGGUAAUGAUUGGCUCAUGGCAGCACAUGGUAACAGAAGGUAGAUGGUUUCUGAGUGAGCAACCCACUGUCAGGAGGACUGCCCCAUGAUCAGAGUGCUUGGCUGGCUCAUCAGAGGGCACUGAUUUGGCACUGAUUUUUACCAACCCUUCAAACAUCAACACCUGGUCAGCUACCCAUGAGAGAAAAGGAAGUUUGCCAGAGAAAGAAGGUUCAAGGAAGCUCUAAACAGACUGAAGAGAAAUGCUGACAGACUGAAAGUGGUCUAGAGUCAAUACACGUGACCAAGGAGGCACAGAUGGAGCUUGCCGGCAGUAGAGUUGACGUAUCACAUAACAACAUUUCAGCCAACAACGGACCACAUAUAUGACAGAUUAUGCUGGACCUGAGAAACUCCUCUCACCUAGCAAUGUCGUAGCCAUGGUAACAUCAAAAGGCAAUGCAUUACUCAAGCGGCUGUGGUGAUGCUGGUGUAAACAAACCUCCUGCGCUGCUAUUUGCAUGAAAGUAUAGCACAUACCGUUGUAGUGUAUGUAUAUAGAUUGAUAAUGAUAAUAAAUGACUGUUGCUGGUUUA